GAUCCUCCUCCUUCCUCCUCCCCUGACCUCUUCUCUCCCCAACCCCCGCACCCCGCCCCCGUCCUCCUCCCUCCCCACCCUCUCUCACCCCCCCUGUGUCCCAAACUAUGGCACAAUAGCGCUCAGCUCCUCUGUCUAUUCUGUGUCCAGCAGGAGCCCGCGGUGAUUCAUUGCUCCAAUUAGGGGCUCUGCAGCCCGUGGCUCGGGCUGUCUGAAGGGUCUCCUUUGGGACCCACGAAACCAUCAGCCGCUGCCGCUGAUCUUUAAGGAAAGGUCAAGCCGGACGCAUUAGAGCCAGGUUUGGGAAAAGCAGAACCUAGGCAAUGCUGACAGACCAGGCUCUCCAGAGACCAAGGCAAGAGGCUCUCAAGUUCAAGGCCAGCCUGGGCUACACAAAUCAUCAGGCCAUCUGGCAGGAUGGUACCUCCUAUAAUCCCAGCACCCUGGAGAUGGAUGGGAAGUUCAAGGCCAGCCUGAGCUGCAAAGUGAAACCUUGUCUCAAAAAAUAAAACCUCGGAAGGAGGCAGGGUUUAUGUGGUUUACAGGUCCUGAUGGCAGUCCGUCAUUGAGGGAGAUCAGGGCAGGAACUCAGACAGCAUCGGGGAGGAGCCAUGAAGGAACGCAGCUUUCCACCUCACAUCCAGGACCCCCUGCCUAGGCAUGACACUGCCCACCUUGGUCUGGACCCCUUCACAUCAAUCAACCGUGGAGAAAAAGCCCCACAGACUUGCCCCCAGGCCGGUCUGAUGGAGGAGGCCCCCAGGCCGGUCUGAUGGAGGAGGCCCCAGGCCGGUCUGAUGGAGGCAGUCCCUCUGUUGAGGCUCCCUCCUCCCACAGAACACUAGUCUGUGCCAAAGGGAUGAAAACUAACCAGCACAGAGGACAGAGGGGUCUGCCACCUCAUACCGUGGAGGUCAGAGACAAUCUGUGAGAACCGGUCUUCUUCCUCUAUGUGGGUUCCAUGCUUUAAACUCUGGGCGUCAGGCUUGGUGCCAAGGACCUGUACCACUGAGCCAGCUCACAGGCCCUUUUGUUACCCUUCGUAUGGACUGACUCCAUUAACUCAUUAAACAUGCAGCUUCUACAGGGUGCCGGUAACCCCAUCUCAGCGGCCACUGCGCUUCGAGACACCCCCGUCUCAGAGCAAGGAGGCGGCAGCUCACUGUCCGUCUCUGGGUCCUGAGAUGGUGUAGGCAGGGAGCAUUCCAAACGUUGCAAAGGCCCUUGUGUGAAAAUCCCAGCUUGUGCUCACAGCAAAGGAUCAGGGCAUGGGGGCCAGGAGACCACUCUCAUGCUCCCCCCCCCCAAACCCUCCCGUUCAGGAACCCGAGGAUGCUGCAGUGAACUUCAGAGCCUUGUAAAAACCUUUUGAUAGAUGCACACAGAGCUGACCUGCACGGGGCUGACGGGGCAGACUCUCCACAUAAAUCUUACGUGUGCUUGAAAAUUCCCUCCCCACUGGCAUCUCCAAGGCUCUGAUUUGUUGCAGAAACCCCUUGAUGUGGUUGGUUCCCAAGCAGCCAAGCCCCAGAAAUUCUGGAAAAGGCAGGACACAAGGAGAGGAGGAAAGGAAAGUUAGACAUGGAGAGUGACCUCCAACUGCCCAGCAUGCAUGCCUGGCCCGCAGUCGGCUUUGGUCCUCCACUAUGACAAAGACGGCCAACGUUACCAACUGUUCACUAAGUGCUGGGUACUUUCUAAUCACUGGGGGCUAUGCUCACUUAAUACGUGAACACUAUUGUUAGUUUUACUGAUGGGGCACUGAGGUUCCAAACAGUGGCCCCAUGUCCCCAAGGUCACAGAGCUGGGAAGUGUCGGGGCUGGAAUUGAACACUUGCUCUAACCCACCACGUAUAAGGUACAGCUCCUGGCCUACAGGCCCACCUCUCCAGAUCCUUCCCUAGAAAACAUUCCUAUCCCUCUUAGUGUCCUGCCCCAGAAGCCUGUGGUCUUGCUCACCAUCCUGCCCGUGGCUCCCCCAGCAGCUGUACCUCCAGCCAGGUCCCCAAGCCCUUGGACCCAGGGUUUCUCAGUGGCUGCCUCAGGUUCUGGCUCACAGGAAGGCUGUGUCCACAGCCCUGGAGUCUUUCCGUAUGUCCCUCUGAGUCACCAGGACCUGCCCCAGCCCCAGCUGCCCUCCUUGGUCCUCACUCUGGAGUGGCUGGCCUCUCCUGGACUUGUUCACACUGCCUGGUGCUAAACUGGAGAACGGCACUUUGUUUUCCUCUGGGAGGUCUCACUGUAACCCCAGCUGACCUCACAUUUCAGCAGCCCCCUUGCCUUCCCCUCCCCAGUGCUGAGGUUACUGGGGUGAGCCGCCAGGCCUGGCUGGGUAUUAUGCUUUUGAAAACCUCUUCCUGAAGCUCCUGAAAGGAUGUGACACAUAGGUGCACCUCACUAAGUUUUCACAGGCCAAACUGGGGUUUGACUGGCCAAUCACAAGCAUCCCAUAUCCAGUUCAAACCCAGCUACAGAGAUGACAUUUCCCAGACUGCACAGUCCACCAUGCAGGUGACAGUUCUGUGGCUGAGUGUUCACAGAGCCACAUAACUAGUCCAAAUGGUAACUUUUGAACACCCAUCACCCACAAGAGAAACCUCCACCCAAAAUGCCAUCACUGUGGUUCCUCCAGCUGCUCUUCCCUCAGCUCUGUCUCUUCACUUGUCUGUCUUGGGGUGCCACAUGGAGGAGAUGGCUAUGUAGCCCUGGCUAGCCCAGAACUCACUAUGCAGAUCAGACUGACUUCAAACUUACAGGGAUCCACAUGCCUCUUCCUCCUGAGUGCCUGCCU